AGCCCUACUUUGUAUUUUAUUUAGAGACAAGAUCUCACCGAGUUGCUUAGAGCCUCGGUGUUGCUGAGGCUGGCUUUGAACUCGCGAUCCUCCCAUGCUGAGCCGCUGGGAUUACAGGCCUAAGUGGCUCUUGUUUGCAAACCCUUUCAGUUUUCUCUCAACCUCCUACAAUCUGUGGAGAUUUACACUCUAUAUAAGCGCGAGGGGGGCGUGUAGGCUGCUUCCACGUUUGAUUGGCUGGGAGGCCAGGAUUCAGAAGCCGGUGGUGGCUCCCGUUUCCCGCCUCUUCCCCUGCCCCACUGGUGAUUGGCUGCACAACUCACCCUGCCUCACCCGGAAGUAUUCGGGAGCAGGAAAGACACAAGACCGGACAGCGCCUUGACCGGUGAUUGACUUAGAUACUCUCACUGCAAUUCUCCCUGACUCGACUCUCUGCAGAGCCAGGAUUAACUAUGUACUGCGGUACCAGCCAUCCACCACACCGUAGCCCAAUGUGCUGCCCCAACAUUAAAUGGCCAGAGGACUUCCGCCUAGCCAUAGCUUUGGGUGCUGACAAGUCGCUAGCUCGCACCACGCCAAUCUCCCGCUGCCAGCUGACUGCACUUUCCACGCACCGGCCAGCUGCGGUUGCACGGCUGAUUGGCUGGCACCAGUCUCUUCUAAGUGGCUCCGUCUAGAGUGUGCCCUCGGACACAUCCAAUGAGACGCGAGGGCGCUUUAAAGAGGCGGGCAUUGCUCUGCCGGUGCCACUUCUGAUUGGUCCGAAGGCUCACUCUUCUCUCUUGAUUGAUCAGCGUGUAGGAGGGAGCGGAAGGAGGGCCCAACGGUUUCAGGCUGUUUUUAGAGCUCUGCUGGGGGCUCAGCAAAGGGUUGCGGGCACCUCCCUGCCGGCGGCUGCUAGAGGAACUAGGGUUAGGAGGAAUGGGAACGGGCAAGAAGACCCACUUGAGGAGGGCAACACGAUAUGAAAACUGAAGCUGAGAGAAGAAACUGAUUGUUCCUAAGAUCUCACUAAGAGGAAUGUCAGAGCUCGAAUUUGAAUAGGCCUGUUCUUCUUA